rnacentral:lncRNA from 1 species
UGAACCCACCUUCUUCCUGUGCCACUUCAUUGCCUCCUUCCCCACCUAAACAACGUGGAGAUCUUCUUCUUCUUCUUUUUCUUCCUCCAUCAUAUCAUGCUUUCUCUGUUUCAGCUCGCGCAUUACGCCGCGCGCACGUUACCGUUGCGCUGAUAUUUGGCCUGCAAGGGGAGACGACUCAGGAAUGCCGCGCGGCGAGCAGGAUGGCGGAAAAAAACUCGAUUUGACAAGGAUGCUAGUCGCUGUAGCAAGUUUAAUCUCGGACCAGCCCCCUCUCGCAUGUCCUGGCUGGGCCUGGUACUUGUCGGAGACUUGGGAGCUGGCUUAGCGGCGCUGGGGUGUGGGGGAUGUGUGAUAGUCGGGAUUAAAACCAGUCAUGCAAAUGAAUGUGCGAGACGAAAUUCCUUCCUUCCAUCACUGCCUUCUCCUGUUCUUCUUUAUACGACUGCUUGCUGACACUGGCGCCGUCUGGAGUUGUCGGCGCUUGCUGGCGCUGCUGUGUCUUGCACCAGACUUGUGCACUUGGCGCCGUGACAGGGAGACCAUAUGGAGGAGGAGCCUUUUAUUCUAAUGUGAUGCAAGGCAUUGCCACUCUACCUGUGGUGCACAUUGGAAAUGCAACAACAAUGUAUUUCUCCACGAACUUCUUGAAGUUAAAAGUAACUGCAAAAGAAGGGAGACCAUAAAGCACGACGAAGAACUACUUAAUGUCAUCACCAAGCCAAACCUCGCCAUGGAGCAAUACAAUGGAGUAGGGCAGGCUGGAGGGAUGGAGGAAGGACAACCGAGGAAAGUAGAGGGGGAGGGUGAGAAUGGGCUCUCGACAAUCGCGGCUCCAGGGAGAGAACAAGAAAGUGCAAUUUGGCGCGUGCGCACUGGUCGGAGGGAAGUUGAUGGCACCCGGCUCUCCUCCGGCACUCGGAGCACCAUUAGCGGCCUUGGGACCUCGUGAUGCUCGCUGGUUCCUCAGAUAGAAAUCUGGCCGAGGUCAAAGAAGUGCUGGGUGACAACUCUUCCUCAUACAGUUUGCUCCCCUUUGCAUUCCUUUCAUUCCACUCCCUCCCACUGGCUUUCUUUUCUUUUAAUCCCUUCCUGUCACAUUCUUUAUCCUUCUGUCUCACUGUUUUAUUCUUCCUUGGUUUUAGGGUCUUUUUUUAUAUUCAACGCCUCUUACAUUCUGAUCUUUCUUGCGUUCUGCUUUCUUCAAAAAUUAACAGAUCGAUACCAUUCCUUUCUUUAUUCUUAAAAGAUUUAAGAAACGUGGAGAUUCAGAACCACCUGCUAGCGCUCGACAAAAAAAAGUACAAUCUGUUGAUUACAAUUUUUCCAUGGCAACAUUCCAAAACAUUCCAUGGAAAUCUUUGUUGACGUCAGACCUGUUCCGCUCACGUCUGCGAAACAUGGUUUGUUUCUUGAGUGAGUGGUCACAAAAGUGCCAUCUAAAUAAAGUCUUUUUUCUGUCUUUUAUUUCUUUCUUCUGUCUUCCAGUCUCUCUGUAUUUUUUUCCAUUUUUGUUGUUUUUGUCUUUCUUUCUUAUUCUUACUUUAAUUUCCUUUAUUUAUCUUUCUUUACGUGUUUUUCCAUUUCUCUGUUCUUUCUUUUUUAUAUUAUUCAAAAUUCUUCAAAAUGUCGGGAAAUAGGAAAAGGUAUUAAAGGAAAACUGCGACCAUCCGGGUACCGAAGUGACGCGCGUUGCACUCACCCCUGCACGUGACAAGGGCACGUGACAAGAUCUGCUCGUGGGUGAGAGGAGUCAGCGAGGGGCAGUGAUGAUGUGUGUAAAUAUUUCAUGCUGCGGCGCGAGAAAUUUUCACUUGUUUCAUGUCUUGAUCCCAUUUAGCUUCUUCAAAUUCUCUUUGUACCUCACUUCUUGUGUUUCUCUGUCCGCUUGUCUGCUUGUCUGUCUCUCCCUCUUCUGCCGCUACCUCUAGCUCUCCCCCUCCAAUUAUGCAUGUUUAUUAUUUUUAACUUAAAGGCACUUAAUAAAUUAGUCAAGCAGUCAAGAAGAAGGCACUUCAAUCGUCCGUGCUCAUUCCCUACAUCAAAGCAGACGACGGGAGGAGAGGCGCUAAGGACAAGUUAAGAGGAAUGAGAAGAAAUAAGACAAUGCUGACAGAAAAACUGAGAAAUGAGGGAAUAGGAACAAGGUUAAAAAUAAUUAUGUGUCAAAAGCGCAGGCUGGAGUCAUGUAACCGCAAAUAUUUCCAAUAUUAUUUGUUAUUUUUCUUUUUCCAUCACAAGAUACAACGUUUAAAGCUCAGUUCGAGAAGAAGUGUAAUUUAAUAUGUGAAUCUUGUCUUUAUUUAUCCGGAAGAAUGCAAUAUGUUAGAGUGGAGUGGGAUACCCAAAUACGUUUGAAUAGUUGUUUUUACAUUGUGUGUGUGCGUGUGUGUGCUUCACUGAAUUUUUUUUUUUUUUUUUUUUUUUUUUUUUUUUUUGUUAUUUACUUUAUUUCACAAGUUUAUUUCCAAUUUUACUUUCGACAUUUUACAAAACUCUACAUUUCCGUCCUAUGUAGCUACAGCGCCAUCAAACGCAUAAACAGGGUGUGCUUAUUUAUUUUUUUAUUAUUAUUAUUAUUUUUUUUUUUUUGGUAACCACUCGUAGUUAUCGCACCCAGUCCUUCUUAUGUCAUCUGCUCUCGGACAAUGGCCCUAAAAACACUUCCUGUGGUAGAGUCUGCCCUCUUUUAUCGUUUCGUCACCUCCUCUCACUCCAUCCAGACUUCUGUUGAGGCACGUGAGGUCACUGUGGCCAUGACCCUGGGCGGCAGCUGUGAGAGGCUGGGAGGACACCAGUAGCUGCAGAAACAUGGCACAUGGCCCCGUCUUCUUCCAAUUAAUUCUGCUUUUGAAGGGCAUGCCUCCCGCGGGAGGAGGGCUACACGAUUUCGCUACAAAUCCAAUCAUGGAAAACAGAGGGUGGAGGCAGGGACCUCCAGGAGAUAGCAUGGAACCCACGGGCCCAGACUCUAAGCAGGUCACUUCUGGAAUUUCUCAGAGCAACACCUAGGGACUUCAAUCAACAAAAUUGCAAAUAUUAUGUGAAAAUUACAGAUAAUUGUGGAUUCUUUGGACUUUCUUGCGCCCACUUCGACAUCCAUCUUCUCAUCAGCGUACAUCUGUGAAGCAGUGAAACGAAGUUUAUUUUGCUUGGAAUGAGUGACAGAUGCUACUUUAUUGAUAUUAAUUUCUCAAUUUUCUUGAAAAAUCUUUGUAGCUCAUAUAUUAUCCUACAGUUUAUUUGCAAAAAAUAGCAUUGUCAUGUUAUGGUGGACCUGUCUGUCUGUCACCUGCUCACAAGGCUCUGAGCAUCCAACAGUUCCUGACCGAGAAGAUCAUCGCCGACAACCUCCCUGUUCACCUAACCAUGCUCCGUGUGAAUUUUUUGUUUUCUCCAAGCUGAAGGGGAUCAUCAAGGGAACCUGUUUUGAAAGAGUGGAGGCCAUCAACCGUACCGACGGAGCUGAGGGGCAUCCCAGAAGAAUCCUUCCAGCAGUGCAUGGCAGAAGAGAAUGGGAAAGUGCACAAGACUGUGUGGAUUACAUUCAAGGGAAACUAUGUGGUUUUUGUUUGAAAUUUAAAUAAAUUGUUUGUGACAUCAGUCCCGUUACUUCAAACCCUCCAGGUACAGAGUCUUUCUCCUGUAUCAACUGGAUUCGAAGCUUUUUACUUAUAUAUACUUUUGUAGGGCAGGCAUGAAAUGCACCUUCAUGAACACGCAUACAUGCAGACACAAUGAACAGCAAAAUAUAAAUAAAGUUGAUUGAGGGAGUGUUUUACCCAACAUCAAAGAUAGGCUCAAAGCGAUUCACAAAAAACAACAAAAAGACAGACACACAAUGAUCAUGGAUGAUAGUUUCUGAACAAAGAGACCCUGGUGUGCCCCUGUAGUGCAUCCUCUCAUGUGAAGAAGAUGAAGACCAUCAGCACAGAGGCCUCCAUUGCAUGGAAUAUUCGAUAAAAUGUUUUGCUUCGAAAAGUAGCUGAAAAGUUAUUGUGUAGCCUGCAUGGAAGCCCCAAUCAUAAUUUUCAUGCCUCGGCAGUCAUCUCAAAGUGAUAGCAAAUACUGAAAUAAAAUUUUACCCCCGAAUCUCGAGAGAAAGAGAGAUGGCAUGAGACAAGAAAAGUGGUGUUUAGUGAGAUGUGUAAUUGCAUGAGAUAACAGUAAUGGGUGAAAGGACACAAAUAAGACAGUCUCAACAAGGUGCAAAGACAGAGAUCAAUAUUUGAGAGACAGGCAACAGUUUUAACGGAAACUGCAGAGAGAAACUUUCCACCUUUCACUAAAGAAGAAAAAUCUUAAGUCCUUUGCACCUUGAACAAACAGGUCUUAUAAAGGUUAUUUCUGAAGAGACCUUCUUCAGUCUUUUGGCUAACUCUCUUUGCUGGAUGAUUCAACCCUGUAUUGUCAUCAGGGAUAUCUAUGUAUAAAGAGAGUUAGUUUCCAAUAACAACAGACAAAAUUGAUGUAAUAAGGAACCUAUCUAACGAUUGAUUCAUUGGCCAUUAAAAAGAUUUCUCGAGGCAAGUUUGUUAUUUAAUUACAUUUUGCUUGCGAGAUUAAUUUUUUUUAUUAAACUUUUCCUCAUCACAGAAUCGGUCUGGCACUGGGCAAAGCUAUUGAGAGAUGAUGAGAGCUCUUUCGAGAGGCGGCCAUUCCGUCAUCAUUUUUUCCCCAAUUCUAGACCUCCUCCUGAGAUAAAAGUGUCCUAACGGUUUCCAUUUCAGGUAAAUGGAUUUCUAGUUCGUCUGGGACUUAAGUUUAUUCAGUUUAUACUGCUCUAACUGCAGUCUACCUCGUUUCCUUGAUGCUUGCGAGUCUCCGCUGUCUACAGUUUGUAUUGACAUCCGGGUAUUUGCCAGACACCUAACUUCUAUACCUCCGUGACUUGAAAACUUUGUUUUCCUUUUCUCCUAUUUUUAUUCAAGAUAAUCGAUUAGACGUUAGUUGGAAGGAGAAGGUUAAAUGAUAAAACAUUGUGAUGAUUGUUCACGGAACUACUUUUUAGCGAUUUGAACAAGGUAAAGUAGUACCACGAGUAGCAAUAGCUAUGUGUACGUUGGCCGCAAUUUAGCUACAAGCAGGUCUAGCUACAUAGCUACAUCUUAGCUACUGUCGUCAGUGCAGGCAGACGCACACUCACAAUGACUACAAGUAUGUCUAUGUAAGUAGCCCUGUGAUGACAGCGUCACCUGGGGAAAACCUCUGGCAAAAACACAACGUGGUUUCCAGCAGCCGUUGCUAUGACAACCAGACAGUCAGACAAACAAAGGGGUCUGCGACCAAACGGCAGCAACGGCCGUUAAACUUUAAUGGCCCAGUGGUCCAGUGUGAUGAGGGGCGCGGGCCCCCAGGUGGGGAAUAUUGGGCUAGUAACUUAUCAGCUACCCCGAUCGAAACUCGAUUCCGGGUACUUGAUAAAAUGAGCGCAAAUGAAUGUUUCACCGGCCGCAGACGAUCUCUUACCACUUGGUGGUGUCCAGAAGAUUGGGUUCGGACAUUAGCGCUUGAGUAGGAGAAACGGGUGGCAGGGUGGGUCUGUGGACGGGUGGAGGUGGUCGUAAGAAGUUGUAGAGAACGAUGAUCACAAUCCGCCGCAGUGACGACAGUGGGUCACGCCCAUUGUUACUGUCGUAAGGUCAGACCCACCCCUGGGGUCAGAACAGUCUUGUGUACAGAGUUCAAGUUAGAGAAGGGCUUUUCUUUCUUGCCGCUAGCUCAGGUACCCGAAAGAGUCAAUAAUCUGAGGUUUGACUUGUACCCCACUGUACAACAUCACCACCUACUCUCAUCCUAAAAUCUACUCACUUUAUGUGUGUUUUAUCAACAAAGAGCUCAGAAGAUUGUCCUCUCACCUUUGGAGGAAAUUUGAUGAAGCACCUCCGUGAUGUUGCUCGUGUCCCUGACACAAUCAGCAAUGCGCCAUCAUCUGAAGAUUUUGCAAGAUAACUUUUUAACCGGUUCUUCUACAGCUGUUGGUAGACAUGAUAUACAGCAAAAGUUACACACAGCAGUUCUGUGGAAAUCCAGUACUUGUAAUGACAAUUGGAAAGUAGCGACUGUUCACAGAGAUUCAAUAGCCACUGAGUAAUAUUUGUGUGGGAUACGGCAGUGGUAUGGCUGCGGAAUGCUUUUGCGUGGCAAAUACUCUUCUUUUCUUUUCUCUUCUCUCUUAAUGUAUUUUCUACAUUAUUAUUUGUUUGUAUCGGUUAUUUUAAUUGGAAGCAAUCUCUGCAUUUCUCAACAGCAGAUGUUAAGUUAGCAAAGGGACCAUCCAACGCCAUAGUUCUUAUGUUUAAAUAUAGAGGGAGAUACAGGAUAUGGAUAUCUGGCAAGUACCAGAACCUUCUGACCACAGUGAAAACAGAGAUGACGUGUCAUCGGUACACCUCAAACAUGACUUGCAGGGAGGACUCUACAUGGAACAGCAAAGGGAGAGGAAGUAGAAUAUGAGGCAGACAACCGCUCAAGACUAGACUGGUCAAACCUCAGGGAAAGGUGGAGAGCGAGAAUGAUGGUGGACGUUGGUGGCAACGUCGCUAGGGGGCGCCUACGGUCAAUCGAUCUGGCCUUGGAGUAGGGAUGAUGAUGAUGAUGAUGAUGAUGAUGAUGAUGAUGAUGAUGAUGAUGAUGCACCGAUUAAAAAAUAAAGAAGAAGGGAGAUAAACGAUCAAAAAGAUACAAAUCGAAACGUAAUGGAAACAAAGAAGCAAACUCCAAACCUAGUCCCUCUCUUUGACUCAUCUUACCGACUAGUCUUACUUUCUCGAAACAAAACAAAAACAAAAAAAACCCGAAAAAGAACAAAAACAAAAAAACAAAAAAAACCCAAAAAAACAAAACAAAAAAACAAAAACAAAAACAAAAAAAACAAAAAACAAAAACGAAUAGCUAGUAGGAGUAGAGGGAGGGGUUGAUGAGGUACCCACAAGGCGUGCCCUCGUUUUGUAGUCGUCAGCACCCUUUUUGUUCCCACCCUUCUUUCUUCUCGUCUCCAAAGCAUUGCCCGCAUGCAAGCCUCAAAGCGCGAGGCGGCGAGGUGGAGGAGCGGGUCGGGGUCCGCCAUGCUGGCUGCAGCGGUGAGUAUUUGUGUAAGGCUCACCGACAGGCAGUGACAUUAUCGCCCAUUCACGCCAUAUUCUACAGGGACCGCAAAUCUGUGCUGAUCAAGGCGACUGCGGGGUACGCACCCAACUUACUCCAUUUCUCAUUACCCGAACCGCAGUGCCGCGACCCACUGCAAGAUGGUAUCGGGGGGGCAGGCACGCGGUUGCCGAUGCAAUGGAAUUAUUUGUGUUUCCUGCGAGGCUGUGAUAAAAGUUCAUAGCUGGCGACUGCUGCUGCUGUUUUCUGUUGGUGUCUGUUGCGUGGGCUUCACGAGAGGGAGGAGAGGGAGGAGAGAAAGAAAGUGAGAGCGGUAAGGAAUGGCGAGGAAGGAGUGAGGGGGUUGAGAGGGGUUCGUAAAGCUGUGAGUUGAGUGAAGGUGUUGAGAGCAGGGCGUCCUAAUGGAGCGAAGAUGAGCGAGGAGAGGAACCUGCUUCGGGACAAGCUCAUCGAAAAUGAAUAAAUGGAUGUUAUAUAUGUAUGUAUGCGCGCGCACACACACAAACACAGAACAUACAGUACGAUCACAUACUCGUGUCCCAUUUGCUCACAGAUUCGUGCCACACUCAUGCACACACACAUACAAACAUGCAGUAGGCACACACAUAUAAUUAUAAUCACACAGCAGGCACACACACAUAAUUAGACACAUAUACGUCAU